rnacentral:rRNA from 1 species
UACGUAGGGUGCGAGCGUUGUCCGGAAUUAUUGGGCGUAAAGAGCUUGUAGGCGGUUUGUCGCGUCUGCUGUGAAAAUCCGGGGCUCAACCCCGGGCCUGCAGUCGAUACGGGCAGACUAGAGUGUGGUAGGGGAGACUGGAAUUCCUGGUGUAGCGGUGAAAUGCGCAGAUAUCAGGAGGAACACCGGUGGCGAAGGCGGGUCUCUGGGCCAUAACUGACGCUGAGGCGCGAAAGCUAGGGGAGCAAACAGG